GACGAACGCUGGCGGCGUGCUUAACACAUGCAAGUCGAACGGAAAGGCCCUGCUUUUGUGGGGUGCUCGAGUGGCGAACGGGUGAGUAACACGUGAGUAACCUGCCCUUGACUUUGGGAUAACUUCAGGAAACUGGGGCUAAUACCGGAUAGGAGCUCCUGCUGCAUGGUGGGGGUUGGAAAGUUUCGGCGGUUGGGGAUGGACUCGCGGCUUAUCAGCUUGUUGGUGGGGUAGUGGCUUACCAAGGCUUUGACGGGUAGCCGGCCUGAGAGGGUGACCGGCCACAUUGGGACUGAGAUACGGCCCAGACUCCUACGGGAGGGAGCAGUGGGGAAUAUUGCACAAUGGGCGGAAGCCUGAUGCAGCAACGCCGCGUGCGGGAUGACGGCCUUCGGGUGGGAAACCGCUUUCGCCUGUGACGAAGCGUGAGUGACGGUAAUGGGUAAAGAAGCACCGGCUAACUACGU
rnacentral:rRNA from 1 species